rnacentral:rRNA from 1 species
UGCAAGUCGAACGAUGAACCUCACUUGGGGGGGGAUUAGUGGCGAACGGGUGAGUAACACGUGAGUAACCUGCCCUUAACUCUGGGAUAAGCCUGGGAAACUGGGUCUAAUACCGGAUAUGACUCCUCAUCGCAUGGUGGGGGGUGGAAAGCUUUAUUGUGGUUUUGGAUGGACUCGCGGCCUAUCAGCUUGUUGGUGAGGUAAUGGCUCACCAAGGCGACGACGGGUAGCCGGCCUGAGAGGGUGACCGGCCACGCUGGUACUGAGACACGGCCCAUACUCCUACGGGAGGCAGCGGUGGGGAAUAUUGCACGAUGGGCGAAAGCCUGAUGCAGCGACGCCGCGUGAGGGAUGACGGCCUUCGGGUUGUAAACCUCUUUCAGUAAGGAAGAAGCGAAAGUGACGGUACCUGCGUAAGAAGCGCCGGCUAACUACGUGCCAGCAGCCGCGGUAAUACGUAGGGCGCAAGCGUUAUCCGGAAUUAUUGGGCGUAAAGAGCUCGUAGGCGGUUUGUCGCGUCUGCCGUGAAAGUCCGGGGCUCAGCUCCGGAUCUGCGGUGGGUACGGGCAGACUAUAGUGAUGUGAGGGAGACUGGAAUUCCUGGUGUAGCGGUGAAAUGCGCAGAUAUCAGGAGGAACACCGAUGGCGAAGGCAGGUCUCUGGGCAUUAACUGACGCUGAGGAGCGAAAGCAUGGGGAGCGAACAGGAUUAGAUACCCUGGUAGUCCAUGCCGUACACGUUGGCCACUACGUGUGGGGGGACAUUCCACGUUUUCCGCGCCGUAACUAACUCAUUAAGUGCCCCGCCUGGGGAGUACGGCCGCAGGGCUAAACUCAAAGGAAUUGACGGGGGCCCGCACUAGCGGCGGACCAUGCGGAUUAAUUCGAUGCUACGCGAAUAACCUUACACGGCUUGACAUGAACCGGAAAUACCUGGAAACGGGUGUCCCGCUUGCGGUCGGUUUACAGGGGUGCAUGGUUGUCGUCGCCUCGUGCCGUGAAAUUUUGGGUUAAGUCCCGAAAAUGAGCUCAACCCUCGUUCUAUGUUGCCACUUGGUUUUGGCGGGGCACCUAUAAGAAGACUGGCCGGGCUCAAUUCAGAGCAGGGGGGGGAACCGAAGUACAAAUUCAUUCAUGCCCCUUAAGUCUUUGGUGCUCCACGC